rnacentral:rRNA from 1 species
AUUGAACGCUGGCGGCAUGCUUUACACAUGCAAGUCGAACGGUAACAGGCCGCAAGGUGCUGACGAGUGGCGAACGGGUGAGUAAUGCAUCGGAACGUGCCCAGUCGUGGGGGAUAACUACUCGAAAGAGUAGCUAAUACCGCAUACGAUCUCUGGAUGAAAGCGGGGGACCGUAAGGCCCCGCGCGAUUGGAGCGGCCGAUGUCAGAUUAGGUAGUUGGUGGGGUAAAGGCUCACCAAGCCAACGAUCUGUAGCUGGUCUGAGAGGACGACCAGCCACACCGGGACUGAGACACGGCCCAGACUCCUACGGGAGGCAGCAGUGGGGAAUUUUGGACAAUGGGCGCAAGCCUGAUCCAGCAAUGCCGCGUGCAGGAAGAAGGCCUUCGGGUUGUAAACUGCUUUUGUACGGAACGAAACGGCUCUGGUUAAUACCCGGGGCUAAUGACGGUACCGUAAGAAUAAGCACCGGCUAACUACGUG